AUGCCCAUUUCUAGCCAGCUAAACCAUGGCAAGAUGUACGGCCACGGUGAUACCAAAAAUAGUGGCCCUAAUAGAUAUUUAUAGUCACGACAUUACUUAGCCACGGGUGACCACUCUCGUCAAAGAGUACGCCAUCAUCCACUAAAAGCAGUCCUUUUACGUUUUUUCCAGACCAGAUAGGGGAGGGGGAAACAAAUACCUCGAAGGGCAAGGAAAACAGAUACCCCUCAUAGAUAAAAAGCCUAACG
rnacentral:lncRNA from 1 species